UAGCAUAUCAAUAAGCGGAGGAAAAGAAACCAACAGGGAUUGCCUCAGUAACGGCGAGUGAAGCGGCAACAGCUCAAAUUUGAAAUCUGGCGCAAGCCCGAGUUGUAAUUUGCAGAGGAUGUUUCGGGUGAAGCCACGGUCCAAGUCCCUUGGAACAGGACGUCAUAGAGGGUGAGAACCCCGUACCUGGCCGUCGGUGCCCCCCGCUGUGAAACUCCUUCGACGAGUCGAGUUGUUUGGGAAUGCAGCUCUAAAUUGGUGGUAAAUUCCAUCUAAAGCUAAAUACCGGCCAGAGACCGAUAGCGCACAAGUAGAGUGAUCGAAAGAUGAAAAGCACUUUGAAAAGAGAGUUAAAAAGUACGUGAAAUUGUUGAAAGGGAAGCGCUUGCGGCCAGACUUGCCCGCGGUUGCUCAGCCCGCCUUUUGGCGGGUGCACUCUUCCGCGGUCAGGCCAGCAUCGGUUUGGGCGGCCGGAUAAAGGCGCCGGGAACGUGGCCUCCCCUCGGGGAGGUGUUAUAGCCCGGCGUGCAAUGCGGCCAGCCCGGACCGAGGUUCGCGCUCUGCUAGGAUGCUGGCGUAAUGGCCGUAAGCGGCCCGUCUUGAAACACGGACCAAGGAGUCUAACAUCUAUGCGAGUGUUUGGGUGUCAAACCCGUGCGCGUAAUGAAAGUGAACGGAGGUGGGAACCGCAAGGUGCACCAUCGACCGAUCCUGAUGUCUUCGGAAGGAUUUGAGUAAGAGCAUAGCUGUUGGGACCCGAAAGAUGGUGAACUAUGCGUGAAUAGGGUGAAGCCAGAGGAAACUCUGGUGGAGGCUCGCAGCGGUUCUGACGUGCAAAUCGAUCGUCAAAUUUGCGUAUAGGGGCGAAAGACUAAUCGAACCAUUUAGUAGCUGGUUCCUGCCGAAGUUUCCCUCAGGAA
rnacentral:rRNA from 1 species